CCUACGGGAGGCAGCAGUGGGGAAUAUUGCACAAUGGGCGCAAGCCUGAUGCAGCGACGCCGCGUGAGGGAUGACGGCCUUCGGGUUGUAAACCUCUUUCAGUAGGGAAGAAGCGAAAGUGACGGUACCUGCAGAAGAAGCGCCGGCUAACUACGUGCCAGCAGCCGCGGUAAUACGUAGGGCGCAAGCGUUAUCCGGAAUUAUUGGGCGUAAAGAGCUCGUAGGCGGUUUGUCGCGUCUGCCGUGAAAGUCCGGGGCUCAACUCCGGAUCUGCGGUGGGUACGGGCAGACUAGAGUGAUGUAGGGGAGACUGGAAUUCCUGGUGUAGCGGUGAAAUGCGCAGAUAUCAGGAGGAACACCGAUGGCGAAGGCAGGUCUCUGGGCAUUAACUGACGCUGAGGAGCGAAAGCAUGGGGAGCGAACAGGAUUAGAUACCCUGGUAGUCCAUGCCGUAAACGUUGGGCACUAGGUGUGGGGGACAUUCCACGUUUUCCGCGCCGUAGCUAACGCAUUAAGUGCCCCGCCUGGGGGAGGUACGGCCGCGACGACGUAAACGUACUAAUUAGAGUUAGUUACGGCGUGAGACGUUGCCGACGGACGACGACGAGGGAGGAGG
rnacentral:rRNA from 1 species